CUGCUCCUCACAUGCAAGAUGACAUCGUCAGGCUCCACUUCCCCAAAUGAGACGCAUCGCCGCUUAGAUGCUGCCAGCGUUUCCCCUCCGGUGAUCCGUUUACACACAAAGAACUCUGAACUUCCUGCAGACGGAAAGUGAGUAGAGACCUCAGGACGAGGCUGCGUGUUCAGCAGAGACGCUCAUAGUUAUUACUGCAUUCGUCACCGAGGGGAUGUACACAGCUCGCUGUGUGCAGACGUAUCGGCACAAAACCACAAGGAGGCACUCGUAGUAGCCGUGAGGUACUCAGAUAUACUCGUAGUAGCCGUGACGUACUCAGAUAUACUCGUAGUAGCCGUGAGGUACUCAGAUAUACUCGUAGUAGCCGUGAGGUACUCAGAUAUACUCGUAGUAGCCGUGAGGUACUCAGAUAUACUCGUAGUAGCCGUGAGGUACUCAGCAGGUAGUUAUGUUUCCAUUAGGCAAAUGAACAGUAACAGUGAACAAGCUGCUUUCUGCUUAGCGUGGGCACAGAGCGGGGGGGGGUUCGAGAGGGCAACUACCCAGUGGGGGUAUUAAGCAACAGGUACCCGGAGUCUGAGGGGUUUGCUGCAGUAGAAUGAGCGUUUCUUACAGUCCAAUAACUUAUUUGACUAAACACGAGGAGGGAAUCUCAGCAGCAAAGUUCACAAAGUCUUUCGUUUUUUUCUCCUCUUCAGCCAAUCAGCGAUCGUAGCGCCGCCACCAUCGCGAGCCCCGCGCUCAGCCCCGCCCACGAGGGU
ensembl:lncRNA